rnacentral:rRNA from 1 species
AUUGAACGCUGGCGGCAGGCCUAACACAUGCAAGUCGAGCGGUUGAAGGGAGCUUGCUCCCUGAUUCAGCGGCGGACGGGUGAGUAAUGCCUAGGAAUCUGCCUAUUAGUGGGGGACAACGUUUCGAAAGGAACGCUAAUACCGCAUACGUCCUUCGGGAGAAAGCAGGGGACCUUCGGGCCUUGCGCUAAUAGAUGAGCCUAGGUCGGAUUAGCUUGUUGGUGAGGUAAUGGCUCACCAAGGCGACGAUCCGUAACUGGUCUGAGAGGAUGAUCAGGCGCACUGGAACUGAGACACGGUCCAGACUCCUACGGGAGGCAGCAGUGGGGAAUAUUGGACAAUGGGCGAAAGCCUGAUCCAGCCAUGCCGCGUGUGUGAAGAAGGUCUUCGGAUUGUAAAGCACUUUAAGUUGGGAGGAAGGGUUGUAGAUUAAUACUCUGCAAUUUUGACGUUACCGACAGAAUAAGCACCGGCUAACUCUGUGCCAGCCGCCGCCGUAA